UACGUAGGGGGCUAGCGUUGUCCGGAAUCAUUGGGCGUAAAGAGCGUGUAGGCGGCCCGGUAAGUCCGCUGUAAAAGUCAAAGGCUCAACCUUUGAAUGUCAGUGGAUACUGCCGGGCUAGAGUCCGGAAGAGGCGAGUGGAACUCCUGGUGUAGCGGUGGAAUGCGCAGAUAUCAGGAAGAACACCAACGGCGAAGGCAGCUCGCUAGGACGGUACUGACGCUGAGACGCGAAAGCGUGGGGAGCGAAC
rnacentral:rRNA from 1 species